GAAUCUGUCCAUCGGUCGGGCUUCACUGUCCGUACUGGUGUGGUGGGUUCUUACCUUCUGAAUAACCAGCAUGCCAUUCACUUGGUGCGUUGGGGAAGCAGGACUAUUACCUUGAAAAAUUAGAGUGCUCAAAGCAGGCUUACGUCUGAAUACAUUAGCAUGGAAUAAUAAAAUAGGACGGUGGUCCUGUUUUGUUGGUUUCUAGGAUCACCGUAAUGAU
rnacentral:rRNA from 1 species